CUUGCUAUUAUUUUUGCGUAAUUUCAUACCAACGAUCAGUUGUUUAAAUUAUUAACCAAUCAAGAAAAAAAAUAAAGAUCUUCAAACAUAUUUUUUCGCAUUCACGUGGCAUUUUUCCAGUUAGUGGUUUCCAGUUAGGCGGUUAGAACGGUCGGUUUCUGCAAAAACAACGUCCACUCUCUUUGCAUCUUCGUUCGCGGUUGGAAAAUUAGACCAACAAACACAGUGUAUUUUCAAUUUUUCCUCGCACUUUCCUCCGACUCUUAGCCUAAAGCCUUGCAAAGUCGAUCGACGAACGGAGUUUCGAAAUGUUCAGGAUCACGUUCGUACGUGUUUCGCGAAUCGUUCAGACUUCCGGCUAUCACGCCGUACAUAUAUGGAAGGCAAUCUUCUCGAAGAAUCGUUCGGAAAAGUUGCUUCUGUUGCAAAGGACGUCGCUCUAUUUGUGGUCAUUCCUCUUGCGGUCGCGGAAAACUGGUAGCGGUUGUGGUUAAGCGGACGAUUUGACGGAUACUGCGAGACAAUGUUAUUCGCAGCGGCUUCGCUUGUGGUCAUGAGAUUAGUGUGCAACUUACACACAGGUUUUGGAAUUGUUUCUCUUCGGAUUGACUUUAUGCGGGUAGAUUUAGUUUCGUCGGGAAUCAGCCUAAGUGACUCGUAGAUUGCCAGUGUCGGUGGCAUUCGUGGGUUUCGAGGUGCGUUUCGUGUGCCAAACGUUCAAGUACAUUUUUCUUCUCGAUUAUUUCGUUCCACGUACAAACAUUUCGACUUUGUAGUUACGUAUAAUUCCACUAAAUAUGGAAUUCUACUAAAUUCAGAUUGAUUUAGUCGAUUGUUAGUUGUUGUUAAUGAGUGUUAGUUGAUGUUAGUUGUUGAUAGUCAGAUUGUUAUUAGCCGAAAUAAAAAUUUGGAGAUUAUUCCGCAUUUGUGCUGCUUCAAUGUACAUGUAUGCAUUUUGUAGAGCUUCGGCGUAUUUAAAAGUCGUCUUUCUAUUAUACAAGAAAAGAUAGAGAUCACAGAGAUCAAAUUUAGUUCGGUUUGGAGAACACUGUGGCGGAAGAUAAAUUUUAAUGGAAAAUCCUGUACGCAAUUCACAAAAUCCUCUAUAUAAAUACGAACCUUAGGUAUCAUUUCCUAUACAUUUAUCUCGUAAGGGCGGGGGAAAGUCUUUCGUAUCACUUUUUUCCCACGAAGUCUAUCGUGUCAUUUCCAAACGAUAUUCUACGUGGAAUAGAAAUUUCGCAGAUUGAUAGCGAAUGUCCCUUCUUUCUCCAGUUUCCUUCUCCUUUGCUCACGCUAUUAUUCAGUAGUUAUAAAUCUUCUUCAAACACUGACAUCCUCUGCCAACUUCCUUUGCACGCACCUGCCUCGAUCUACCCAAGAUUUAUCACCGCGCCUAUCACUGUUUCAACCACUAACAGCCUUUCACGACGGCAAAUUACCCUAAUCUGAUCCACAUUCGCAAGUGGAACAUCGGCGACCAGCAACGAAAAGUCUAUCGUUCGAAUCCUCGAACAUAGCAAAUUUUAUCUCGCGCGUAAUGGAACCGGUCCGUUUUAUCGGUUAUUGAUAAUUUACCGCCUUGCAGUUAUCAAGUCGCAAUUUCGCGGCGUUUCAUCGCCAGCCAACAGAACCAACUAGUUGGUCUAGCCGAGAGACGUAUGGAGAUUAAAAUUUUCAGAACGAUUUCCUUUCCGGGCUAUGUAUCUUCGCGUUUCUGCCGGUCGCUUGCACCGUUUCGCUAGUUUCCGGAAAAAAAGAAGGGAAAAUGUUCCACAAUCGACCGAGCAGGUAUCGUUUUCUCGCAGGUGCGCGCGAUGGUAUCGUAGAUCGGUGCUCGUAACUUUGUCAGAAACUGCCUAUCGAGAAUAACAGAAGGCAACUCGGUGGCCUUUGAAGCAUAGUUGCAGGUGAGAUUUCCAUUGAUCUUGUAGCUGCCUGCUGCUACGUUUCACCGGUAUCAUUAGUCAGUUUUAUGGACUAAAUCGUGACAGAGAGGAAACCGGUACGGCCGUGGCACUUUGGUCCGGAGAUCGCGACCGAUCGCCAUAGGAAUUCGACCAGCCAGCGAUUUACUGUUUCUCAUCGCGAAAUAUUAUCAAUAGCGUUCUACACGCCGACCGUUCUUUACCGAUUCGUUCGGAUAAUGUCAAGGUAAUUGCUGAUCGAAGGAUAGGCAUCGUUCGCUCUCUAGCUUCUUCCUUUCCAUCGCCUUUGCCUCGCAACGAUUAUCCUUAUCCUCUUCGAGAUAACGCGUGAACGAUAAUUAACUGUGGCGCGUACGUUUCCGUAUAGUUGACAUUUUCAAUGGUCCGAGUACCAAAAUGGUCGGCAUUUGGAAUUUAAUCGAUAAAUUAGAACGAUUAUGAAAUCCACUCGACAUCGACAUCUGUCAACGAGAAAUGGCUGGAAAUGGCGACGAAAGACGAGAAAAUUCCAGGAAAGGAUGUAUCAACGUCAUCAUCGGAGCAUCGUUUAUGAUAUUCGCUGAAACCAGACUGCUCUCAACUCAGAUCCACGUUUCUUCGAUCCACGUUACAUCCAGUAGCCGAACGUUAAUGUAGCAGAGUUCCUGCUAAGUUUUCUCGUUGAUCGAGUGGCUGACAUUAUCGAGGGGUGAUGUGGUAAUUCGCCGAGCCUGCUAUUAAUGACGCGUAGCCAAUUUACCAUUGCAGGCUGCCAUGACGAUUGCAAGGUGACCAGUGACGUCGAGGUCCGUUACUUUCGUUCUAACGAUAUCUCGUUGCACUAACGACAGGAAAUUCUUCCCAUCUUUUCUUCCAGUCUAUGGGAGGGAAGACGCGCUUCGCGUCAUCCACGAUGAAUUAGUCAACUGGCAAGAACGUGUUGCUGGCUGAUUGCUGCCUCGGUUAGCGGCGAGAUAACUCUCUCGUUGUCAGCGUGUUAUCGACUUGUAAUUCGACGGUGGUCUGUUAACGCGAUCGGUCUUCGCUUCGCUGUGUUUUCCAACUUAUCUUUCCCAGAACUCGAAUCUUUUCUACCGUCGCUUUUCAUCAGAAAAAUCGCGAAAAAAUAGGAAAACAGACACCUAUGCUCCGCCGUAUAAUCUUUUACUUUUAUCCUCGUACGCACUCCGACAACAAUUCCAAGAAUUAAUUAGCAAACAGGUAGUCACAAGGUCUAAAUAACCACGACACCAUGCGUGUGGUCGUACCAAGAGUACAACCAUAGUAAAACCCGAAGAAAGCGGAUCCAUCGCUGUUAAACGCACGUUACCAUCGAAACCAAAAAUUGGAUGUUUCCUACGAAGCUAACAACACCGAUGGAAAUUAACGAGGCAGCACCAACGACCAGAGGAUAACAUCUGAAUUCCGAAAUGGGAAUUGCUAUCGAGCGAUCGACGAAUCGAUGACAGUUGCGAAUCGACGUCGCACGUUCUGCGAAUCUCUACGAAUUUUCUGAAAAGCGAAGCGUCGUUUCUCGCGAGUCUGAUCCGUCCACCAGUUCGACAACGUCGUACAGCGACUUAGCGAACGUUGCUUUAGCAAAUUUCAAAAGUAAAAAGAGAUACAAGAGCGGUAAUUGAAAAGGAAAAGAAAAGAAACAUCGAGACAAGGAGAAAUCGUACAACGAAAGAAACUAUCACGAUUUCACGAUGAAGUCGAUGUCCAUGUGCCGAGUGGGAGUUCCAGGAAAGCCCCCGACGUAUAAAUAUUCUAAUUAAGCGCAUAAUUAGCGAACAGCGAUGAAUUAUCGUAAACGGCGGCCAAACGUAUUUUCAUACGUUAUCGCGGCAACAAUAUCUUGUCCCGAUAUCUCUUUAUCGCUUUAAUUAAGCCGAACUACUUGGAACACGCCUGUCGCAAAACGUACAGCCGCUGACUCGAUCAUAGCAACUCGCUUAAUUGACUCAUUCUUGACUAUCGCCACUAGGAACACAGUUGCGAUCGAACGUUAUUCGAUUUGGCUGGCUAGAUAUCUGAUAACCACGUCUGUUCGUGCAUUUGCAAGUUUGUAAGGUUUAAACGAAGGCCAUUCGGAGAGAACAUUAUCUCGUUGUUUAAAGGUUAAGCAAAAUAGCGAAGAGGGAAGUGAAAAUGCAACUUGUGUGGUAUUAAUGGAGAGCGUAAAUUUUAAUUGGAAUUAAUGUGGCUGCAAGGUAUUUCUAUCGUUAUUUUUCCUUUUCCUUCUCUAUUUUUUUUUUUUUUUUUUCUUUGGUGCGUGAAACCUGGCUCGAUGAGAAUUAUUGCGCAGGUGUCUUUGGAAAAUCUGUUUCGUAACGCUGGCGAUUUCAGUAUAACGAAAAAUGAUAGCAGUCAGCGUAUUUUCGCGUUAAGUUGUUUCCACAUCGAGUUUCUUUCUUUAUUCUCAAGUAUUCGCAAUUGUAUUUAUAAGAGAAGCUAUUUCCAAUUAUAUCUAAAAUGUUAAAUACAAGUAUUGUUUGUGAAUUGUCCUCUUUUAAAUAUUCGGUACAUUUUGCGUCUUAUUCGAUAAUUUACAAUUACCAUAUGUCGUGCGAGUCGAUGAACUUUGUUCGUUACGAACAAGCUUUCAAAAUCUCUUGAAGUUAGUUGCGGUAUUAUCUUUCGUUUGUACGACGUAUCCACACCGUACCCUUUGUCGCGAAUUCUAAGUGUGACACGAGCAACGACUCUAAUUAUUCAGGAAUGAAAACUGUCCGCAAUGGCCCGACUCAUGACAUUUCAAACAGCAUAAAAUGAAGUACGAGCGAGCAGUCUUAUGUAAAAUUCAUCGAUAUCGUUCGAUGCGCACCAAAUAUUUUAACCUCGUUAAAGUUUACUGUUUAGAAAACGAGAUGCUCAAAUUCUUUCCGUACGCUUUAUGAAUAAUCGCUGGUAGAACAACGUGUAAACUUCGCCGAUAGUAUCAGAACUAAAUCAGAACGAGCAUCGUGCGUUUAUAAAUUGUUACAUUAAAAAAAAAAAUGCUUUAGUCUAACAGUUUCGACGCUAAUUCGAUUAACAGGUUGACUGCAGCUCGAAUUUUCUGUAUUUUAUUUUGCCAGCCGCGACACAUCGAAGUAUAUUGUACCACAACGUUUCAAGUAGUAGCAGCAGCAGCAGCAGCAGCAGCAGCUUGAAAGAGGAAUAAGGCAGAAACAGAAGAGAAACGCGUGCAAUGGACGGCGCUCCAAUUAAUGGGCCGGUCCAAGGCGGUCUCAGAAAAAAACGUCAUCGAGUUCUAUUUACGAGCUGUUCUUUAAAAUCGCGUUAGUCGAAGCCCGUGGCACGGACACCAUUGACGGCAACCAUACGCUUCUUGGGGCCUGAUAUGAUGAGAGCCGCCUUAUAAGGGUUACAACCGGUGUUUAAAGUCACCAGCGGCGCGGCUUUCACCAAUUUAAAGUCAGAUUGCGACCCACCCGGCUUCUAAUCGCCUCUCAUCUAUACACACAGAGAAUCGUACGGCCGUAAUCGAUCCGCCGAUUUCGCCUUGUAGCCGAGAAGACGACUGUGAUUCGUUGCUUUGCUAUUGUGUCGUUCUAAUUGGCCUGGUUCUUUAAUCAGAUCGAUCCUUUUAAUUAACUCGUUGUUGGGACGCUUACAGAGAACGAGCUGAAAGUAACGAAUAAAAGGCGAAAGCCUCGGAAUUCCUGCCUUUGGAUACGAACGAUUUAUGUAUUUUAGAAGCCAUUGACGAAUGUCCAUAGUUCAAGAGAAGAGAACGAAUCUACACGUUAGAAGAAAUAAGAAGCUUCGUACGAACAUACGUGACAGAUGCGAUUAACCUUGCGAAUUUGAACAAAAAUGUCUAAUCUGUCGGCUGGGAAAAUCUAGAAACAUCAAGAGGAAAAUAAUCGAGACACGCGAUAUAUAUUGUGCAAUUUCGGUCGUUCGAUCACGAAAAAUUUGAUUAUCCGAUUUCUCGGUGAUUAAGCGGUUCAAGGUCCUAUUGUACAUUCAUUGGCAGGAGAAAGAAAAGUAUCGAAGAACGUGGUGAAAUCUCGGAACGAUGCAUUCGCCCCGGUUGGUCCCGGAAUUUUUCAACGACAUCCGCGGCCCAUUGUGGUUGACUAAUAUACCGCUACAGCGCGUUAACCUUCCAAAGGUAGGAGGAAGGUGCGCCACACCCCCGUCUCUCUUUCGCCGUGAACCACGAGAGCAACGAGAGAUACAGCAACAAUGGCCUCCGUAGAUGGAAGAUUGCACGGAAAGGUGCAACGUUCACGUGCAAAGGUCGCCACGGUUGAAUCGGGUAAACGAGGAUAAUGUCGUGGCCCGACUAUCAUAGGUGAAUUUUAUUGCCGUGAAAAAGAAGGCUUGCCGCAUCUUAGACGCGUCUGCAUGCGAGAUCUGCUCGGACCGUGAGCCUAUUGUCCGCGAAUAGAAAGAAAGUCUUUCGUGCAACGCUGGGAUCUAAAUCGGUCGAGAACGUUGUGUGCGAAUUGCGAGGUCGUUUUUCUUUUCCCUUUUUUUUUUUAUUUUUUUUUUUUUU